GUCGCAAGACCAAAGAGGGGGACCUUCGGGCCUCUUGCCAUCAGAUGUGCCCAGAUGGGAUUAGCUAGUAGGUGGGGUAAUGGCUCACCUAGGCGACGAUCCCUAGCUGGUCUGAGAGGAUGACCAGCCACACUGGAACUGAGACACGGUCCAGACUCCUACGGGAGGCAGCAGUGGGGAAUAUUGCACAAUGGGCGCAAGCCUGAUG
rnacentral:rRNA from 1 species